UACAGAGGUCUCAAGCGUUGUUCGGAUUCAUUGGGCGUAAAGGGUGCGUAGGCGGCGCGGUAAGUCGGGUGUGAAAUUUCGAGGCUUAACUUCGAAACUGCAUUCGAUACUGCCGUGCUUGAGGACUGGAGAGGAGACUGGAAUUUACAGUGUAGCGGUGAAAUGCGUAGAUAUCGUAAGGAAGACCAGUGGCGAAGGCGGGUCUCUGGACAGUUCCUGACGCUGAGGCACGAAGGCCAGGGGAGCAAACGGG
rnacentral:rRNA from 1 species